UAUGACAGUGAAGAGUUUGAUCCUGGCUCAGGAUGAACGCUAGCGAUAGGCUUAACACAUGCAAGUCGAGGGGCAGCAUGAACUUAGCUUGCUAAGUUUGAUGGCGACCGGCGCACGGGUGCGUAACGCGUAUGCAACUUGCCUCGUAGAGGGGGAUAACCCGUUGAAAGACGGACUAAUACCGCGUAUGCUCACAAGGUCGCAUGAUCAUGUGAGGAAAGAAUUUUGCUACGAGAUAGGCAUGCGUCCCAUUAGCUAGUUGGUGAGGUAACGGCUCACCAAGGCAACGAUGGGUAGGGGAACUGAGAGGUUGAACCCCCACACUGGUACUGAGACACGGACCAGACUCCUACGGGAGGCAGCAGUGAGGAAUAUUGGUCAAUGGGCGGGAGCCUGAACCAGCCAAGUCGCGUGAAGGAUGAAGGUCUUAUGGAUUGUAAACUUCUUUUAUAGGGGAAUAACGGCUAGCACGUGUGCUAGAUUGAAUGUACCCUAUGAAUAAGCAUCGGCUAACUCCGUGCCAGCAGCCGCGGUAAUACGGAGGAUGCGAGCGUUAUCCGGAUUUAUUGGGUUUAAAGGGUGCGUAGGUGGCUUGUUAAGUCAGCGGUGAAAGGUUCGAGCUCAACUUGGACAUUGCCGUUGAAACUGGCGAGCUUGAGUGUAGAUGAGGUAGGCGGAAUGCAUGGUGUAGCGGUGAAAUGCUUAGAUAUCAUGCAGAACUCCGAUUGCGAAGGCAGCUUACUAAGGUACAACUGACACUGAAGCACGAAAGCGUGGGUAUCAAACAGGAUUAGAUACCCUGGUAGUCCACGCAGUAAACGAUGAUUACUGGGCGUAUGCGAUAUACAGUAUGCUCCUGAGCGAAAGCGUUAAGUAAUCCACCUGGGGAGUACGCCGGCAACGGUGAAACUCAAAGGAAUUGACGGGGGCCCGCACAAGCGGAGGAACAUGUGGUUUAAUUCGAUGAUACGCGAGGAACCUUACCCGGGAUUGAAAUGUAGAUGACAUAUGGUGAAAGCCGUUUUCCCUUCGGGGCAUCUAUGUAGGUGCUGCAUGGUUGUCGUCAGCUCGUGCCGUGAGGUGUCGGCUUAAGUGCCAUAACGAGCGCAACCCCUGUCCUUGGUUGCCAUCAGGUAAUGCUGGGAACUCCGAGGAGACUGCCGUCGUAAGGCGUGAGGAAGGUGGGGAUGACGUCAAAUCAGCACGGCCCUUACAUCCGGGGCGACACACGUGUUACAAUGGGGAGGACAAAGGGCAGCUACUGGGCGACCAGAUGCGAAUCUCUAAACCUCUUCACAGUUCGGAUUGGAGUCUGCAACUCGACUCCAUGAAGCUGGAUUCGCUAGUAAUCGCGCAUCAGCCAUGGCGCGGUGAAUACGUUCCCGGGCCUUGUACACACCGCCCGUCAAGCCAUGGGAGUCUGGAGUACCUAAAGUCCGUAACCGCGAGGGUCGGCCUAGGGUAAUACAGGUGACUGGGGCUAAGUCGUAACAAGGUAGCCGUACCGGAAGGUGCGGCUGGAACACCUCCUUUCUGGA
rnacentral:rRNA from 1 species